AACGUAGGAGACAAACGUUAUCCGGAGUUACUGGGCGUAAAGGGCGUGUAGGUGGUAAUGUAAGUCUGGCGUGAAAUUUUUCGGCUUAACCGGGAAAGGUCGUCGGAGACUGCAUAACUAGAGGACGGUAGAGGCGUGUGGAAUUCCGGGUGUAGUGGUGAAAUGCGUAGAGAUCCGGAGGAACACCAGUGGCGAAGGCGACACGCUGGGCCGUAACUGACACUGAUGCGCGACAGCAUGGGGAGCAAACAGG
rnacentral:rRNA from 1 species